CCCCUCACGUGUCCGGACAGUCCUUCUCACGCCCCUAAAAUCCCCGGUGCUUAUACUCAGGGGAGAGGUUUCCACUACUCUGUGUCUGGGUGUCUGUCGUCUGCAGAGCUUGGGGUUGAUCUCACAGAGCUGCCUUUCCUGGCUGUGGGAGAAGUCAGUGCUGCCAAAGCUCACGUUAUGCUAUUGUUAUCAACCUAGACUCCCAAUUAAAUUUUAGCUCAACAAGGCACGGGACAAAGAAAAAUCCCCCGGCUAAAGAUCCACGAUGUUUGAAACUGCUCUGGAGAUGAGGCAGAGAGUCACUACCUGAAAAUCGUUGUUCAUUUGUCUAGUUUACGGGGAAAAAAUAACGAAUUGAAGACUGUCACAUGAAAGACUUUUUUGGGCUCCUGCUUCAUGCCAGGCACUACGAAUGGGGAGUGAGGCUGAGAAGACCUCAGUUCUUGUGGAGAUGAGAUUCUGGUGGGGCAGAAAGACCCCAGAACCCAACACUGAGCAGUUUCAGAAUGAAGACAGAUGAAGGAGAGAACACAGGACAACGUUAUUUAUUCACUGGGAAGCAAAGUCCAACGUCCGCCAUAAAACUCUGCAGCUGAAAAACGGCAAGCGGAGCAGCUCUCAGAUAAAGACAGCCUCCACCGUCUUGCACAGCGCAGCCCCUCUCGUGCCCAAGUCCUGUGCCUGCAUGAAAGCACUAAAUCACAGACCCCGCAACCUGCUGUACCCGCUGGUGACAGUCAGCAGCUGGGCUCCGGCAAGCUCCCUUAGCCGGUGCUGGCUCAGAGAGCAGACUUCCCUCAGCAGCUCCAAGGAGCGCUGCAGCUCCCAGGCUAGGGAGCAAGCCAACGAUUCGAGACCCUAAUCAAGGCUUCCUUUUACCUUAAAGAAACUUCCUCGCUUGUCCAGACUGCGGGCGCCCAUGGUCCAAGCUGACAUUUCCCCCAGUGAGGCUCCACUGCACGCCGGGGACUCCUGAAGGUAGAGACAUUUUUAAUGGUUAGUCCAGCCUGUAGGAAAUUCCUUUCUAAGCCACAGAACACUCACAACAACGGUCCUGCCAAGAUCUUUUUCCAUCAACAACACAGUGCCAUUUAUUUCCCACCAAGCCCUUACAUCUCCCUUCAGCCCAGUUUCCUGCCCCCACCAGUGCAGUUCCUAGACUGCCCCACCUCGCCAGCCCACCUCCCAACUCUGCUGCGGACAGAGAAGGUCCUUGGGACUUCAGGAAGCAUAAUGAUCAUUUUAUGUGUUUGAUCUCACGCUGAAAUGUGAGCGGAACCAAUAUGAGAUGUCCCCAUCAUCUGCUCUGAAAGCUUAUGAUUGAAUGUGGCUAAUCACAGAAAGACAGCUGAAGAAGGAGGUUCUGUAUGUCCCAGGAAACCAUGCUGGAAGGGGGUGAGGUCAUCCUUAGCUCUGCUGGCCUCUCCCCCAGGCAAGGUCAACAGAAGGGCACUGGGAAGAAAUCGCUCUAUUUUUUUCUUUAGAAAUCAGAAAUAUUUGGAUAAAAUCCUGUCACUGUUUACAGGGAUAAGUUCACAGAGGAGGACAACGUGUAAACAGCUUCAUGAUCAUCUAAAAAAGGAGUUGAGCGUAGAGGAAACUGAGAGGCAGGAUAACAACACAGUUCUGAAUUCUAACUGUGGCUUUUGGAGCUUGGAAUUUCCCCUGCUCAGGGCAUCAGAUCCCAAUAAUUCUUCCCUUCGGGACACAAAGCCUUCAACAUUCAGUUCUAAGUUAAACACAGACACACCUCUGCCAGCUGACUCGUCCCAGGCCUUCAUGCAUUGAGGGGAGCCUGAGAGAGCACCCCAAACCCUUCCUUACCCAAUGACUGUCCUGGGGGCAAGUAUAAAACCACCCUGUCUUUCCUCAUUCAUCCCUUCUCACCAUAACAUGCACAGGAUGUAGCUCAUGCCAACCGUGACCGACACAGAGGAAGGUCAGUGAAGGAAAGAGUGAGACUGUCUCUUGCACCACCAAGAAAUAUUCAAAGUGGUUCAGCUGCAGGGCUGGGGAGGCACCGAAGCUAAGGCAGCUGCUGCUGCAGGUUCACUCAGGCUGUUUCAUUAUCACUGAGUGGCGGAGAGCCAGCAACACAAACAGGACAUUGAGGGCGACGUUUAGGGAUGUUUCAUCAAGUGGAAAAGCAUGAAUCCAUAGCUGAGAAGUGCAUACAAGUGAGUGAGCAAGGAUCUUUGCAGAGAGAUUUUUUUCGGAUCCACGAUUUGCCCCCCUGCUUGCAUUCACAGUGAGUUGUGAUGACCUGCGCACGGAAUCCAAUCUAGAAAAAAAUAAUGAUACAUCGCAUCCCUCCCCUCCUUCCAGAAACGUCUCUUUGUGUCAUUGCUCCGCAGUGUGGCCACUUUAAAGGUUUGAUGGUGUCUUCCCUGUGUUUCUUUCCACUUGUGAUCCUGCUGGGAUGAAGGCCAAUGUCCCAGAAACCUCCUGAGAAGGGAGUGUGUGAUUCUGCUGACACCAGAAGUUCAGGUUCUGGGGUUCAUCACUCAUUAGCAAAGUCCACAGGUUGGAACAACUCCAGAAAGAAAUCACAGUGCUCAGAACUAGGAGCGGAAUGGGAGCCACACUUUCACCUUGGGGAGCAAACCACGGCCCUUUUAGACCCAGAAGCACACAAAUAAAAAAGCAUACCCUGCUUUAAACCAUGCCUAAUGUCUGGAAUUCUUUUUAUUUCAGAUGUUUUUUCAGCAGUGGAUUUGAUGUCGCUUGGCAGUUCAGGAAUUGCUAAACGAGAGCCAAGACUUCAUUCCUCAUCCAGACCUAAGUUUCUUUGUUCUGUUCUGAAGUUUUCCAUAUACAAACUUUUUCUGAUGAGCCAGGGCAGGCAGGGAAUUUUGCCUACAGCACUGGAGCAGUUUGGGUUCCAGAAGUGUACUAAUUGAUUCCUUUAAUUAGCUGCCUGAAAACUGCAUGUGCACACUUUAACUCCAGCAGUCCUCAAAUCACCAUCGAAUUUGGAUUCUGCUCAGGGCAGGAAGAUCCAUCAUAUUUAAAAGAUGCCGGAGGCAUCUCUCCUUCAUGAGCUGCUCUGAGAGAGAUGGGAGCAGGUGACAAGAACACACCACCAGGUGCAGCAGCAGCCGCUGAAUGAGGCGAGGCAGCUCGGACUUCAGUCUCAGUAAACAAGACCUCGUUAUUGUAAUUAUUUUACAGCUAAAUUGACUGAAAUAGGAAAAAGUGACUCACCCUAGGGGACCUGUGAGGUCAAGUCCGAAUAUGAGAAACGCAUCUCACUUCUUUGCCUGGUUCCUUAACCAGCUCCCAGGGAGACGGGCCAUCUCUCCUUCCCAUGCUUUUCGCUUUUUGUAAGAGCGGUAGAAGGAAGUGGAGGUGGCUCUGUGUCUGGGUGCGGGGAAAGUCUCUGAAUAUUUCCGUAAUUAUCUUUGUAUUACCCAAUAUUUCACACGUUGGACAGAAAAAUGUUAUUCCAAGGUCAGACUUGACAAUUUGAACUGUGUGAAUUAAAAGAACUUUUUAAAGUGUCCUGGAUCACUGUUCGAUAUGGGUUUCCCCUCAUUCAACAAUUGUUUUUUUAAAAAAAAUUUAAGUUUUAAGGUCAUGAAAACUUUUCAUUGAAAAGAGAAGCUAAUUUGUGGGAAAGAAAAAAGUCAUAUGCAAAGAACUGUAUUCCCAGCCCCCUUACUUAACAACAAGUGUUUUAAUAUUAGUUUUAAUUAUUGUUUCGGAGGCAGGUCUCAUACUGCUGCCCAGGCUGGAGUGCACUGCCUCAGUCAUGGCUCACUGCACCUCGACCUCCUGGGCUCAAGUGGUUCUCCACCUCAGCCUCCAGAAUAGCUGAGACUACCAAUGUGUGCCACCACGUUCAAAGAAUCUAUUUAUUUUAGUUUGUGGAGACCAGGUCUCCCUCCGUGUGUCGUGCCCAGGCUGGUCUCAAACUCCUGGCCUCAAGCCAUCCUCCCACCUUGGCUUCCCAAAGUGCUGGGAUUACAGGCAUAAACCACCAGGCCCAGUCUUAAUCCCAUUUAAAAACUGUGGUUGGUCAGAAACUCUAAAAAGCUGUCUUUAUGGGGGGCGAUUUGCAUCUGUAGAGAAAAAUCUACAUUAAUGCAGCCAGGCUUCCUCUGAGGUCCUCUCUUGUCCAAUGUAGGAAAGAUGAACUGAGAAGCUGGCACUUUCAAAGGUCUGAAAGAACCAUUUCCCACCUAUUCUCUCUGAGAGCUGCUACGUGGGAGGUUACCUCUGCCUGGUGAGACCAUCUUUGCUAAUCAGGCCUCCUCUUCUCCCCCUCCCAUCACCUGUUUUGCCACCAUCCAAACCCCCAUUCUUUCUGUAACCUCAAGAUGGCAUACAAGCUUCUGAGCCCCAUGGCAGGGUGGGGGUGAGCACUCUGUGGUGCUCCUCUGGGCGUGUUAAUAAAGGUAUGUGCCGUUUCUCCUCUUAACCUGCCUUUUGUCAGUCGGUCUUUCAUCCAACCUUCAGAGAGUGAAGGAGAAGUUUCUCCUUGGCUCCUACCAAGCCGUAUGACAGCUCAAUUUAUGGGGAACAGAUAGCUUGAGUGAAUAGAUAUGAGAGGACAUUGGGCCACAGGGUGGGUGUUGCAGGAGUAGGGGAAGAACGUGCAAUGAAGAGUCUUGAGCAGUUUGGGUAGAUUUAUAUUCCAUUCCUUCAAAUACGUUUUGACCAGGAUAGCAUUCGAAGAAUGAAGGAGACCAUGAGUUCUCAGAGGCAGGUAGAACUUUGAGAUACUUCCUAUCAUCCAGUCAGAUUUUUUGGGGGGGAGGGUGGAGUUCUGCUGUUGUUGCCCAGGCUGGAGUGUAAUGGCACGAUCUCGCCUCAGCGCAACCUCCACCUCCUGGGUUCAAGUGAUUCUCCUGCCUCAGCCUCCUGAAUAGCUGGGAUUACAGGCAUGCACCAUCACACCUGGCUAAUUUUGUACUUUCAGUAGAGAUGGGGUUUCGCCAUGUUGGUCAGGCUGGUCUGGAACUCCUGACCUUGUCAUCCGCCUGCUUAACUCUCCCAGAGUGUUGGAAUUACAGGUGUGAGCCACCGCGCCCGGCUCCAAUCAGGUGUUUAUUCAAAAAUCUUAGAAUCGACUAAAGCCAACACUGAUAAAGAAAAAGCUCAGCAAACCAGAACAACAGUCCUUGCAGCUGUCACUUUUGAUGGGAUUUCUUAGAUGAAUACAGUACAGGGAGACCUGUGGACCACCUGAGGGAAGAGGCUUCAAUGUAGGGAUGAGGAGGAUGGACAAAAGCCACAUUUUGAUCUCUUCUGUCACCCUGUCAAGGAAGUGAGUUGGAGAACAGAUGGGCCUCCUCUGAAGAAUGUCUUCCUUGUAAGCCCACAGAUUCCGUGUGGACAGUCAGCGGAAGCACGCUAACAUCAAAAUAACAACCCACCGCGACAGCUUCUAUACAUAGCAAAUGCUCUAAUAACCUGUCUUAAUACUUAACAUCAUAGCAUAACCAGAAAUUAGCAAGGGAAAUGCAUACAGAAAGAAACAGUUCUCCAAAAUAACUUAGUAUUUUGUGCUAUGAAAGAGUCAUGAAAAUCCACAUAAUGCUCUCAGAGAUAUGGGUUGCUAUCACCAAAAAGGUGGUCUUGGUGGCAGCAAUUGUGCCUCAGAAGUUCAGGCAUGUUUAAAAGUCAGUCUUGGCUGACCAAUGGCAUUCAUGUUUUUUGUUAGGCAUGAUAAGGACAUAGGAUAUUUCACAAAUCCAGUUUCCUAUUAAUCAGUUUUGCACUAUUUGCAACCACCAAAUAAUUUCUGCUAAGCUCUGCAGGUUCUCUGAAGCUUAGAGUUUCCCUCUCAAUGGUCUACCUCACCCCAUCCUCUUGUUCAGAUGUCUGACUCCUUCCUAUGGCCAUGGAGCCAGACAGGGCAAGUGUGGUUAGCAUCCAGCCCAAGGUACAGGGGAGAAAGCAGGAUUAUCUCUUAUUCAUUGAGACUAUUUGAGGGUGGAUACAAACUCAUGUCUGAGAGACACUGGUUUGGAUCAUAAUGAUAGCCAAACAGUCAUAUUAUGGUAAACAGAGCAAAGCAAGGAGGUCAUGUGGACCCAUGGAUGGAUGGCCUCGGUGGAUGGAGAACAGAGCAGAGCACGGAGGUCAUGUAGACCCAUGGAUGGAUGGCCUCAGUGGAUGGAAAACAGAGUGAAGCAUGGAGGUCACCUGGACCCACGGAUAGAUGAAUGGAUGGAUGGCCUCAGGAGACAGUGGAGAUGGCAUCAUUUCCCGUGUCUGGCUUUUCAUGCCACCCAUGGGGAUGCUGGUUGGACACUGAUCUUUUCAGGGACUGAGGCAAGAGGACAGGUGGAAGUUCACUUAUACUUUAUGUCUGAAUAUUAAAAAAUUAUAAAUCAAGACAACAAACUGUUAACUAAAAUACGUCUAUUCUCCUACCAUGACAAAUGUGCCUUUACAAGGACUUGGGAAACCUGGUUUCAAUGUAAAACUCUCAGACUCCUCAGUGUUUUGUCCUGAACAUGGGGGCAUGUGGUGACCCUGUACCUGUCUCAUGAUUUGCUACCCCUCUUCUCCCUCCAAUAGCUCUGUGGAUACCCCAUUUUUCAUGUCCAAGUGCUCUGCCUCCUUGGACUUUCCAGCCUACGGAUGCUAUUCCAGGAACAGAGUCAGCCCAUGGGCCCAGGCGCAUGGGAGACAGCCUGCCAGGCAGUGGAAAUAGGCUUGGGCCAUGAGGGCAGAGAUUCCAGAGCUCUGGGCAUCUGGUGCACAGGCAAGGCAGGGAGGGGAUGUGGGCCCAAGACCGGCACAACCUGUUUGCUCUCCUUCCGUGGGGAGGGGUGAGGUUAGCAUAGGACAAAGUGCACAUCUCAGGGGUUAGGGCACAUCUGGGUGGCAGGUAGAUUCAUCUUGGGGCUCACAACAGAAUGGACACAGCUUCUGCUACUAUU